AAUUGAUUAAUGUCACUUUCUUCACUUUCAUUACAAAUAAAUUUUGUCUAAAUAUACUCUAAAAUCUAAACUCUAAACCCUCAGCUGUAUUUCGUUGUUCUGCUUUUGGGAUCCAGCAUACGCUAACAUCCCACAAAUAAAUUUAACCAAUCGCUUUGAACCAAGAAGUUACAACUACCCAAUUAAGGACUAGUAGAAAAAUAAAUGACCAAUUAAAAAUUCCAAAUUGAUAAGAAUCUGAUUAAGAAAAAAAGACCGGCUACCCGAAAUUACAAUCUAAGGGCAUCUUGGCAUAAAAACUAAAGAGAACCAACCCUAUGUGAUAGGAGAAGGAGCAUAACAAUGGAAGGAAGAGUAAGGUUUGAUUUUUCUUAAGCUUUAAUUAACAAGAAAUGUUAUAUAGAUUUCAAUGUGGCCAUUAAGUUCAUACCAUAGCUUACACUUUCGUCGCGCAGUAGUUCUACAUAUUUGGCAAUCUUUGCUUCCACACAUCACUGUAAUUAAGAAUCAAAAGAAUAAUUUAAAAAAUAAACUUUUACUUUAAAAUGUGAACAUUUCUCGUAAAUAUUUCGUGCUUCUUUUACGAAAUUUUUUAAAAAUAUAUUAUUGUCAUCACAAUGCCAUCAACUUAAUGUUAUAUUCAAAUUAUUAAUAAAUUGACGCACUACAUAUGUAUUUCUUAAUUAAUAUCCUUAGUAUAAUUCAAUUCUAAUGUCCGUUAGCUUUAUAUAAACUAGCCGUGUGAUGACGAACAAAUCUGUAAUUUAAAACUCUGGAAUUUUAUCUGACAGUAUCGUAAUACUUCCGUCGAAUUUCAACACAAGCCACAAGAUCUUAUGCAGAAAACGUUUGCCAAACAAAUUUAAGUAAAUACAACGGAUAUGUGAAGUGCUUUUAAUUAACGAAUGUAUUUUAACAUGUACUUAAUUAGUGUGUACGUCAAAAAUAUUGAAGCUAAGUAAAAAUAAUAUUUGGCUUUAA